CUGCGAAUGGCUCAUUAUAUAAGUUAUCGUUUAUUUGAUAGUACCUUACUACUUGGAUAACCGUGGUAAUUCUAGAGCUAAUACAUGCUAAAAAUCCCGACUUCGGAAGGGAUGUAUUUAUUAGAUUAAAAACCAAUGCCCUCUGGGCUCCUUGGUGAUUCAUGAUAACUCUUCGAAUCGCACGGCCUUGCGCCGGCGAUGGUUCAUUCAAAUUUCUUCCCUAUCAACUUUCGAUGUUUGGGUAUUGGCCAAACAUGGUUGCAACGGGUAACGGAGGGUUAGGGCUCGACCCCGGAGAAGGAGCCUGAGAAACGGCUACUACAUCCAAGGAAGGCAGCAGGCGCGCAAAUUACCCAAUCCCGAUUCGGGGAGGUAGUGACAAUAAAUACUGAUACAGGGCUCUUUUGGGUCUUGUAAUUGGAAUGAGUACAAUUUAAAUCUCUUAACGAGGAACAAUUGGAGGGCAAGUCUGGUGCCAGCAGCCGCGGUAAUUCCAGCUCCAAUAGCGUAUAUUAAAGUUGUUGUGGUUAAAAAGCUCGUAGUUGAACCUUGGGCCUGGCUGGCCGGUCCGCCUCACCGCGUGCACUGGUCCGGCCGGGCCUUUCCCUCUGUGGAACCCCAUGCCCUUCACUGGGCGUGGCGGGGAAACAGGACGUUUACUUUGAAAAAAUUAGAGUGCUCCAGGCAGGCCUAUGCUCGAAUACAUUAGCAUGGAAUAAUGAAAUAGGACGCGUGGUUCUAUUUUGUUGGUUUCUAGGACCGCCGUAAUGAUUAAUAGGGACAGUCGGGGGCAUCAGUAUUCAAUUGUCAGAGGUGAAAUUCUUGGAUUUAUUGAAGACUAACUACUGCGAAAGCAUUUGCCAAGAUGUUUUCAUUAAUCAGAACGAAAGUUAGGGGAUCGAAGACGAUCAGAUACCGUCGUAGUCUUAACCAUAAACUAUGCCGACUAGGGAUCGGACGAUGUUAUUUUUUGACGCGUUCGGCACCUUACGAGAAAUCAAAGUGCUUGGGCUCCAGGGGGAG
rnacentral:rRNA from 1 species